rnacentral:lncRNA from 1 species
CAGGUCGGUCAUAUGAUGUUGGGUGGAUGAUUCAUAUACUCAGGCUGUUGCUGUGUUGCAGUUCAUCCAGCUCCGAUUAUUUUCCUGCGGAGAUCGACGGAGACGGGAUUGGGCUAAUCCCCUCCCAUACUGUGAUGGUUUCUUUGUUUGUUUGGAUAAGAGCUCUGACGACGACGCCAAUCGCUGCCUUGCCGCGCACGGGCUGCCUCUGUGCGGGUGCCCGAUGCCGGCUUUUUUUUUUUUUUUUUGGAAAUCAGAUCAUAUAUAGACCUGGCUUUCAAAGAAAGCCUGGCAAAUUUACCUGGCUUUCAAAGACUACUUCCAUUUUCAGUAUUUAGACAAUAGCCUAGCCUUGUACAAUCUCCUUCUAAUUUUACUGGUACAUUGUGUUUCUUCAUGCUAAUCCA